GUGGGGAAUUUUGGACAAUGGGCGCAAGCCUGAUCCAGCAAUGCCGCGUGCAGGAAGAAGGCCUUCGGGUUGUAAACUGCUUUUGUACGGAACGAAACGGUCCUGGUUAAUACCUGGGGCUAAUGACGGUACCGUAAGAAUAAGCACCGGCUAACUACGUGCCAGCAGCCGCGGUAAUACGUAGGGUGCAAGCGUUAAUCGGAAUUACUGGGCGUAAAGCGUGCGCAGGCGGUUUUGUAAGACAGAGGUGAAAUCCCCGGGCUCAACCUGGGAACUGCCUUUGUGACUGCAAGGCUAGAGUGCGGCAGAGGGGGAUGGAAUUCCGCGUGUAGCAGUGAAAUGCGUAGAUAUGCGGAGGAACACCGAUGGCGAAGGCAAUCCCCUGGGCCUGUACUGACGCUCAUGCACGAAAGCGUGGGGAGCAAACAGGAUUAGAAACCCUGGUAGUCC
rnacentral:rRNA from 1 species